AAUACAAUGAGUCUUUCCCUAAGGAUGUCUUCGUGGACGAUGUGUCUCAUCUGGCUGAAGGUAGUGGCAAAUGUCGGGAUAAGUUCUUCUGCAAAGUGC